AUUUAAAAAGUGGGCUCUUAAUUCAUUAUUGUUACUUCUUUUUGGUGAUUCUCUAAGGAAGAAAGUAAAAUGAAGAAUUACGUCUGCGCGAUCUUGUUGUUGAUGUACGGAGUGACUCAUUUUGCUACACAAGUACAAGGUGACUGCCAAUAUGGAUCCAGAGUUUUUAGCGUAGGUGCACAUACGAUACACAACCCCUGCGCUCAGCUGAUUUGUCAUGAGGAAGGUGAAAUAAAUAUAUACCGAUGCCCUUUCUUAGCUGAUCAGUGUAAACCAAAUCAAUAUCUUUCUGGUUAUUUCGAGAAUAGCCAUCUAAACUAUCCAGCGUGCUGUCCAAAACCUCUUUGUUUGCCUGACUACCAUUAAUCAACACCUACAAAGAAUAAAAUACUAGGUUUCGUUUCAUACGACUUUGAAAGUUAUAAUACACUGUAAUCUUCAAGCCUCAUAACUCAAAAAGUAUUUGAUGAAAAAUAACUCCAUGUAGUGAUUUGAAAAACUCUUGACAGAUAUUAAAUUUUGUAAUCAGAAAUAGAAUGUUUUUUAUUUGAAAAAAUCGAUGCAACUUUGACCUUAGUGACACCCAAGUCAAAUUGAUAGAAUCAGUUAAUAGAUUAUUUUAAAUCUUACAAUUUAAUCUAAAGUAUUUUCACGAAGUUUACGUUUUAUUUAUUUUUGUAAACUUUACGUGAAAUACAUCGCAAACAUUCGGAUAGGACAUUUCGAAUGUAUUACUUAGGAUUAAAAGGAAUGCAAUUAUAUUAUUAGAUGUAUUCAUUGAAUAAAUUUUAUUGCACUAAAUAUGUAUGAUUCACCAGAGUGUAUAUAUACAUAAUGCGAAUCACAAUAGGUAAAUUUACAGGCAGAAUGAACAAUAUAAUGAUACAAAAAAUAUACAUCAAUUAUAAUUUUGACAAUAGUGUUCCCAUACAACACAUAAUAUUUUUAAAAUAUUUUUAUGUCCGCUAAAUCCUGUAAAAAAAUAUUUUCAAAAGUAUUUUGGAAAUUAUUAGCAGAAAUCUUUUCAAAAUAUUGUUAAAACCUUUUUAAAACAUUUCUCAUAACAUUUUUUGGAAAGAUUAAAAAAUAUUUUUUAAAAAUAUUUCAUAAUAUUGUGUGUUAUAUGGAUUUUCAAUACCGGUAUAAUUACACGUCGUUGUAUUCCGAAUAAAUGCUAAAAAAAAACAU
rnacentral:lncRNA from 13 species